rnacentral:lncRNA from 1 species
GGACACCGUGGGGUGAUAGGUCCCCACAAACAGUGGAGCUCUGAUCAUGGUCACGGAAUUGCACAAGAAACCCCGUGGGCCGAGGCGGCCGUGGCAGCUCCACCAACAGCCUGGCCUCAGGCUCCUCUGUCUCCACUUUGCUGGAGCAGCUCACACCCUCGAGCGUUUCCUGGCUUCAUCUUGCCAUCGUACUCUGGCGUCUAGUUACAAUGAGGAACCCCCGUCUGAGCCCAAGGGAGCCCAGCUUCGCUCUCUCAACAUCUCUUCCACCACUUCCCGGGGGCUAAGUGGGAAUUCACUCCAGACAGCAGUUCUGGCCCCAUCAGGGCACAACUCGCGUCUGGGCCAGAACUUCAUCUCUUCAUUGCAGAAAGUUAAGGAAAUCGUUGCUCAGCCAGGGAGCAAAGAUUGGCUCUGCAGCUGCUCUUUUAUGGAGCUGUUAACGCAGAGACACCAUUACUUAAAUGUAAUUUUUAGUAUUACAAUUAAAGACUGAUUUGAUUUUAUGAGAUCAUGCAUUUUUAUUUUAUGGACGUUUUUGUAGUUAAAUUCAAUUUAAAAGAUUGUAUUUAAAGUAAGGUAUAAGCACGGAGCGUAUUAAAGUUAUGUAAGCCUGCUUUUGGCGCUCUGAUAGCAAAGCUUCCAGCACUGGAUUACUCUGGUAGCGCCACAUGUUUCCUGCUACAACUACGUACUAGCUCAGGAGAAACGAACUUGGCUUCCUCUGUUUGUGACAGCCCCAAAUCUAUCAAGCCUCACGAAGCUCACUGUCAAUUUUCUGCAGGAAAGAAACACUCCUCUCCUUUCAGCCGACUCUCUGAGGAAGGACUUCCAUGGACCCAGGUGCUCUUUCGCUGGGAUUUCACUCUCUGUGCGAUACGGAGCUGUGCCCGUGGGGCCCAGCCUGCAGAAUGCCACGAGCUGUGCCCGUGGGGACCAGCCCUCCCAGGGCUGAGGCCAGCUGAUGACCCGGUGCGAUUUUUGAAGGCUUCGUUUCUGACGGCAGAAAAGCACGUCAGCGUAUUUGCACGGAAUAGAUUAAGCUGCUGGGAACCACGUCCCCUUCAACCGGACUGACGUGGGACCAAGAAGGGGCUUUGUCCUUGUCACCUGGCCUGUCCUAGGUCACCGGGACAAGCAAGGGAAGCGGCGGACCCUCUUUUAAGCCCCACGUCGCAAAAAUGCGUGAAAUGAGCCCAGACUGAAUUAGAUCCUUCCUCCCACGUAUUUUGGCUGAAAGGUCGCUCUUCCUUCUCUCACUCGUGUUUCCUGGGCGCGAAACCUGGUUUCUCCGCCAUCGAAUUAGCAGAGGAGCAAAGGUUACUCAGAUCUUGGCGCUUUGACGAGUAAGUCCUGCUGGCUGAGUGGGCCCCGUGUCCGGCCAGCGACCGUCCCUCUCACUGUCAGCACCGCCGACCGGAGGGAGCUGGUCCUGCUCGUGCCCGGAGGC